rnacentral:rRNA from 1 species
UACGAAGGGGGCUAGCGUUGUUCGGAUUUACUGGGCGUAAAGCGCACGUAGGCGGAUCGUUAAGUCAGGGGUGAAAUCCUGGAGCUCAACUCCAGAACUGCCUUUGAUACUGAAGAUCUUGAGUUCGGGAGAGGUGAGUGGAACUGCGAGUGUAGAGGUGAAAUUCGUAGAUAUUCGCAAGAACACCAGUGGCGAAGGCGGACUCACUGGCCCGAUACUGACGCUGAGGCACGAAAGC